CCUACGGGAGACAGCAGUAGGGAAUAUUGCUCAAUGGGGGAAACCCUGAUGCAGCAACGCCGCGUGAGCGAUGCAGGCUUUCGUUUUGUAAACCCCUUUUGUCAGGGAAGAAAAUGACGGUACCUACCUAAGAAGCACCGGCUAACUCCGUGCCAGCAGCCGCGGUAAUACGGAGGGUGCAAGCGUUAUCCGGAAUUACUGGGCGUAACGGGAGCGUAGGCGGGAAGGAAAGUCUGGUGUGAAAUGCUAAGGCUUAACUUCGGAACUGCAUUUGAAACUGUCGAGCUAGAGUGCGGGAGGGGUAAGCGGAAUUCCUGGUGUAGCGGUGAAAUGCGUAGAUAUCAGGAGGAACACCGAUGGCGAAGGCGA
rnacentral:rRNA from 1 species